rnacentral:rRNA from 1 species
AACGCGAAGAACCUUACCAGGGUUUGACAUCCUGCGACCGCCUCCUAAUAGGGGUUUUCCCGCAAGGGACGCAGAGACAGGUGCUGCAUGGCUGUCGUCAGCUCGUGUCGUGAGAUGUUGGGUUAAGUCCCGCAACGAGCGCAACCCUCGCCUUUAGUUGCCAUCAUUCAGUUGGGCACUCUAGAGGGACCGCCGGCGACAAGCCGGAGGAAGGUGGGGAUGACGUCAAGUCCUCAUGGCCCUUACACCCUGGGCUACACACGUGCUACAAUGGCGGUGACAGUGGGCAGCUACUUCGCGAGAAGCGGCUAAUCCCAAAAAACCGCCCCAGUUCAGAUUGUACUCUGCAACUCGAGUACAUGAAGGUGGAAUCGCUAGUAAUCGCAGAACAGCAGGCUGCGGUGAAUACGUUCCCGGGCCUUGUA